rnacentral:rRNA from 1 species
UGGGGAAUCUUGGACAAUGGGGGCAACCCUGAUCCAGCCAUGCCGCGUGAGUGAUGAAGGCCUUAGGGUCGUAAAGCUCUUUCGCCUGUGAAGAUAAUGACGGUAGCAGGUAAAGAAACCCCGGCUAACUCCGUGCCAGCAGCCGCGGUAAUACGGAGGGGGUUAGCGUUGUUCGGAAUUACUGGGCGUAAAGCGCACGUAGGCGGACCAGAAAGUUGGGGGUGAAAUCCCGGGGGCUCAACCCCGGAACUGCCUCCAAAACUAUUGGUCUAGAGUUCGAGAGAGGUGAGUGGAAUUCCAAGUGUAGAGGUGAAAUUCGUAGAUAUUUGGAGGAACACCAGUGGCGAAGGCGGCUCACUGGCUCGAUACUGACGCUGAGGUGCGAAAGUGUGGGGAGCAAACAGGAUUAGAUACCCUGGUAGUCCACACCGUAAAACGAUGAAUGCCAGUCGUCGGGUAGCAUGCUAUUCGGUGACACACCUAACGGAUUAAGCAUUCCCGCCUGGGGAGUACGGUCGCAAGAUUAAAA